rnacentral:rRNA from 1 species
CGCCUCUUGAUAAAACAUAAGAGGUCCAGCCUGCCCAGUGACAUAGUUCAACGGCCGCGGUACCCUAACCGUGCGAAGGUAGCAUAAUCAAUUGUCCUCUAAAUAGGGACUAGUAUCAAUGGCACCACGAAGGCUACACUGUCUCCUUUCUCUAAUCAGUGAAACUGAUCUCCCCGUGAAGAAGCGGGAAUAUAAUUAUAAGACGAGAAGACCCCAUGGAGCUUUAAACUCAUCAUACACCUUCNAUAUUACNUUAAAUCUACUAAUCCUAAAGACCNUGUAUGCUAAUUUUAGGUUGGGGGGACCACGGAGUAUAAUUUAACCUCCACAACAAAUGGGUUAAUACCCUUAUCCACGAGAAACACCUCUAAGAAUUAAUAAACUAAUGUUUAAUGAUCCGAUAANCUCGAUCAAUGAACCAAGUUACCCUGGGGAUAACAGCGCAAUCUACUUCAAGAGCCCCUAUCGACAAGUAGGUUUACGACCUCGAUGUUGGAUCAGGGUAUCCUAGUGGUGCAACCGCUACUAAUGNGUUCGUUUGUUCAACG